AUGCCAGUCGAGCGGCAGCGACAUAAACAAUCCUUCGGGUGCGCUUAUGGGCGGCGAGCGGCGGACGGGUGAGUAAUGCCUGGGAAUAUGCCCUGAUGUGGGGGAUAACCAUUGGAAACGAUGGCUAAUACCGCAUAAUCUCUUCGGAGCAAAGAGGGGGACCUUCGGGCCUCUCGCGUCAGGAUUAGCCCAGGUGAGAUUAGCUAGUUGGUGAGGUAAGAGCUCACCAAGGCGACGAUCUCUACCUGGUCUGAGAGGAUGAUCAGCCUCACUGGAACUGACACACGGUCCAGACUCCUACGGGAGGCAGCACUGGGGAAUAUUGCACAAUGGGGGAAACCCUGAUGCAUCCAUGCCGCGUGUGUGAAGAAGGCCUUCCGGUUGUAAAGCACUUUCAGUUGUGAAGAAGGCAUAUACGUUAAUAUCGUAUGUGUCUGACGUUACCAACAGAAGAAGCAACGGUUAACUGCAUUCCAGCAGUCGGGGUAGUACUGAGGGUGCCAUUGUUAAUCCGCAAUUCUGCGCCUAUAGCGCCUGCCCGCGGCUUGUUCAUCCAGAUGUGAGUGCCCGGACCUCAUCCCCGGGAGGGCAUUUGGAAGCGGUAGGCUAAAAUCUCAAAGAGGGGGGUUCAAUCUCCCGGUGUAGAGGU
rnacentral:rRNA from 1 species